UACGAAGGGGGCGAGCGUUGUUCGGAUUUACUGGGCGUAAAGGGCGCGCAGGCGGUUCUGUUUGUCGAGUGUGAAAGCCCCGGGCUCAACCUGGGAACUGCGCUCGAAACGGCGGAACUAAAGUUCGGGAGAGGAGAGUGGAAUUCCCAGUGUAGAGGUGAAAUUCGUAGAUAUUGGGAAGAACACCGGUGGCGAAGGCGGCGACCUGGUCCUUUUACUGACGCUGAGGCGCGAAAGCGUGGGGAGCAAACAGG
rnacentral:rRNA from 1 species